AGGGCUCUGGCUCAGGUCUCUCCUUUCUAGUUCUCUCUUCAGUGCCCAGUGAAUUUAAAGCUCUUGGAAUAAAAAAGGAGGGAAGGUCAGAAGAAUUUCACAGCCCCUUGGUGAAUAGUAGACGAGUGAUCAGCAGUGAAUCCAGUGAUGAAGAUGGGCCCCCCAAGCCUGGAGCUCAGCAUCAAGUUGUGGACCACAUGAGGUGGGUGAUGAUGGCCAGCUUUGGAGCUAUGGAAUCUCAGGCACCUGAAUUCAGAGCUCUUGUUUCCUGAAUGCAUUUUACUUUGAGUGCACUUCACAGCCAAUGGUUCAGCUCCUCCUGGGAACCUGUUCUCUGCAUUUACCUCAUGUGGCACUUUGGGAAAUGUGGCGGGCAAGCCCUUAUUCAUUGAAUAUGUGUGUUCAUGCGUAGACAUUAGAGUAGAAAUGAGCUAGCAUAUUUAUUUGUUUUUUUCCCUUUUACAUGAUCAUGCCUAUUGUGGUAUAAUAAAAAUUUGCAUUUGAUCCUUUCUCUAGUUCUUGGAACAGAGAUCCCCAAAUCCUUAGAAUUUCCUGAGUGAUGAGUGUCUUUUAAAAAUCAACCACAUGAUUAGAGGGUUAGAACUUUUAGCUCCACUCUUUGACCUCUGGGGAAAAAAGAAAGGUUGGAGAUUGAGUUCAUUCACCAAUGGCCAGUUAUUUAAUUGAUCAUGCCUACAUAAUUAAACCUCAAUAAGAACCCCUAAAUGUAG
rnacentral:lncRNA from 1 species